rnacentral:rRNA from 1 species
AUGGCCUCUGACUUAGCCACUAACAUCUCCUCCUUCCCCCAAACCUAUCUAGGGCUCCCUCUCUCCCCCUACAAGCUGCCCCCGUCGGCCUUCCAACCAAUCAUCGACAGAUGUGAUAUCUAUCUCUCUGGCUGGGCUGCCCUCCUUCUCUCUCGCGGUGGUAAACUCGUCUUGUUGUCAGCCGUCCUAGAUAGCCUGCCCACCUACUUCAUGCUCUGCUUUUCUCUCCCUAUUAAUGUUCUUGAAGCCAUUGAUAAACGCAGACGUACCUUUUUCUGGUCUAAUGAUGAGAUUUGCUCUGGGGCUAAGUGCCUGGUAGCUUGGGAUAAGGUUUGCACUCCAAAAGUCGCAGGUGGUCUAGGUGUAAAAACUUACGUGCACAAAAUUUUUGUCUACUGCUGA